AACACCUAAAAUUAAUCCAGGAAUUUUGAGUUUCUGAUCACCAAGAAUGUCCAAGCAUCUCGUUGGUAGUAUGACAUGGACAAGGCAAUUCUUUGAGACUUGGACAUGUUCUCUGGAGGUUCCAACACCUAAAAUUAGUCCAGGAAUUUUAAUAAGUACAGACUUGACAUGUCUCUUACAAUUACAAAGAUGCAUCUCUAAAUAGUCACAGGUGACAAUCAAUGACGAGGGAAAACACAGCUAAGGUCGAAUAGUCAUUGGAUGCCCAUGGAGUCCUUUAUGAAAGUGAAUGUUGUCAUUUUAUCCUUACCUUCAAGAUUAGCCAAUAGGAGAAUGACAGUAACUUAGAUGCAAAAGAAUCCAGAUGACAACAGUGCUGUUAACAUGUUUGAAUAAGAUAAGGAAGAAACAGAUAAAAAUGAGG